UUCCUGAUGGCUUAGCAGUAAAGAACCUGCCUGCAGUGCCGGAGAUUCAGGUUCAAACCCUGGUCUGGAUG
rnacentral:tRNA from 1 species